UUAUUCAGUGACUACCAGCUCGUGAGACCAGCUGCUCCCAAGUUUCCCAGGGGGACCCUCAGCGGUCCCCUCGGCCCCGCGGCCGCUCCCCCAACAGGGGCUGUGCGCGAGGGCGAGGACUGUUGGCUCCGAGUCCCAGGAAGCCCGCCUGGACCUUCCUCUAGCACUCUGGACCCCUCUGGGGCAUCCUGCCUCUGCCGCCCUCGGGAUCCCUUUCUGAGCGCUGCGGCAGCUGCCGUGCAGUGGAGAGGACCCGGCGAGCCCGGAAGCCCAGGCGGGAGAGGAGCGAUCGCGGGCAGGUGCCGUCUUCUCUGGGCUUCGUUUCAUCUCCAAAGGGGGCCCGUUGUUUCAUGGAUCCCUUCCGGUCCAGCAGGGGACUCGCCCUCUCCGGGGUUCCCAGGGGACUCGUGUGAGGAGGAGAGGAUCUGUGCCCGGGGGGGGGGGGGGCUGAGAGGGGGAUGGGGGCGGGGAGGGACUGUAACCCAGAGCCCAUCCUCACACUGUCUCACCGCAGGGCAGACCAGGGUCCUUAUCUCCAGCAGCAGCUUCCGUCCCCCGCCACAGCCCUCCUCCCUGCCUCCUGGCCCCCGGGGUUGCAGGGGCACUGGGCUGGAGCCAGCCCUCCCCCCGCGGGCCCGGCCUCCCCCGCCCCAGGGGAGCUGGCCAGAGAGGCUGCUGCCCAGCCGAGCGAGGAGGGGGCCCAGCCCCCAGGUGGAGGAGCCGGAAGUGAUAAAUAACUUCUCUCCGGCCCGCCGCUCUGGCAGGCUUCGAGCUCGCUCCCCUCCCCACACACCUCGUCCCUCGGCCGGGCCCUCCCCGGGGCCGGUUUCCUCUCCGAGGUCCGCGCAGGCCUGGAGAAGCCCCGCAGGCAUCCUUUGGGCCGGAGAGGGGCGAAGGAGGCUGGGCUCGGCUCAGGGCGGGGCGCGGGGUGCCUCCGGCUCUUUGGGGGCAGCUGGGAGGCAGCGAUCCCUGACGGGCCGGGGCCGUCCCUGGGAGCUGGUGGAAGGCACGAGGCUGGGGGCACCUGGGAGAGCGGAAAGGGCUCCGCUCGGGAGUCGCGGGGCGUCCUGGCCACGGGGCACCUCCGAGCUGGGGGACCCGGUUCUAGCUCGUUUGUCCGGGCUUUGA
rnacentral:lncRNA from 1 species